AGAGUUUGAUCAUGGCUCAGGAUGAACGCUAGCUACAGGCUUAACACAUGCAAGUCGAGGGGAAACGACAUCGAAAGCUUGCUUUUGAUGGGCGUCGACCGGCGCACGGGUGAGUAACGCGUAUCCAACCUGCCCACCACUUGGGGAUAACCUUGCGAAAGUAAGACUAAUACCCAAUGACGUCUCUAGAAGACAUCUGAAAGAGAUUAAAGAUUUAUCGGUGAUGGAUGGGGAUGCGUCUGAUUAGCUUGUUGGCGGGGUAACGGCCACAGGCGACGACCNGUAGGGGUUCUGAGGAGGAAGGUCCCCACAUUGGAACUGAGACACGGUCAAACUCCGUACGGGAGGCA
rnacentral:rRNA from 1 species